rnacentral:rRNA from 1 species
GACGAACGCUGGCGGCGUGCUUAACACAUGCAAGUCGAACGGUGACCCAUCUUCGGAUGGUGAUCAGUGGCGAACGGGUGAGUAACACGUGGGCAACCUGCCCCUAGCUCUGGGAUAACUCCUCGAAAGAGGUGCUAAUACCGGAUAUCACCUCCCUGGACAUCCAGGGUGGUUGAAAGUUUUUCGGCUAGGGAUGGGCCCGCGGCCUAUCAGCUUGUUGGUGGGGUAAUGGCCUACCAAGGCGACGACGGGUAGCCGGCCUGAGAGGGCGACCGGCCACACUGGGACUGAGACACGGCCCAGACUCCUACGGGAGGCAGCAGUGGGGAAUAUUGCGCAAUGGGCGAAAGCCUGACGCAGCAACGCCGCGUGAGGGAUGACGGCCUUCGGGUUGUAAACCUCUUUCAGCAGGGACGAAGCGAAAGUGACUGUACCUGCAGAAGAAGCGCCGGCUAACUACGUGCCAGCAGCCGCUGUAAAAC